rnacentral:lncRNA from 1 species
AUGCUCAUUCUUUCCUCCUUUCAUUCUCAAACGCAUUCCAAAAUCUAGAGCACCGAGGGUCGCCAUAUAACACAAGUUUGCAGGAGAGAAGAACAACCAAGGAGGUGCAGUUAGGAGCUUCGCCGAUCUCUCAAGCUAUUUCUCCACUUCCCUUUUGAUUUGCUUUGUUCCUUUUUCAUAGCUUUGUUCAACUUGCAUAUCCCGAUUUUCAUCCAUAGCUUCCAGAAAAGCUUAUAACCUCUGCCUUUUCAUCUUCUUUUG